GCGAGGGUGGCGGAACUGGCAGACGCGCCAGACUUAGGAUCUGGUGGGCAACCAUGGGGGUUCGACUCCCCCCUCUCGCACCA
rnacentral:tRNA from 1 species